UACAGAGGGUGCAAGCGUUAAUCGGAAUUACUGGGCGUAAAGCGUGCGUAGACGGUUACAUAAGUCGGGUGUGAAAGCCCGGGCUCAACCUGGGAAUUGCAUUCGAGACUGCGUAGCUAGGGUGCGGAAGAGGGAAGCGGAAUUUCCGGUGUAGCGGGUGAAAAUGCGUAGAUAUCGGAAGGAACACCAGUGGCGAAAGCGGCUUCCUGGUCCAGCACCGACGUCAGGCACGAAAGCGUGGGGGAGCAAAC
rnacentral:rRNA from 1 species